CAGUAGCCACGGGAAUACGUAGGUGGCAAGCGUUGUCCGGAAUUAUUGGGCGUAAAGGGCUCGCAGGCGGCUUCUUAAGUCUGAUGUGAAAGCCCCCGGCUCAACCGGGGAGGGUCAUUGGAAACUGGGAAACUUGAGUGCAGAAGAGGAGAGUGGAAUUCCACGUGUAGCGGUGAAAUGCGUAGAGAUGUGGAGGAACACCAGUGGCGAAGGCGACUCUCUGGUCUGUAACUGACGCUGAGGAGCGAAAGCGUGGGGAGCGAACAGGAUUAGAUACCCCCGUAGUCCCUGUCUCUUAUAC
rnacentral:rRNA from 1 species